AAAUUACAUAACUUUGGAAUGGUACAAUCAUGGCACUUCAAUAUUUUGAAUUAUCACCAAAAAUCAAUUAAAUUAUAUAUCUUUGGCAAAUAUAUAUGCAACAAAAAUAAUUUCAUAAACUUUAAUAUGAUUUCAAUAUUGCUGAUCUAAAAUGAUGCAUCAUAUAAUCAAUACACUAGAACCUUCCACCGGAUGCUUUGACUACAAUCACCUGAUGCUUCUCUGCACAAUCUCCUAUGAUUUUCAAGAUCUUUUUCUUCCUGAACAAGCCAAAUAGCAUUCCAUCCUGCAUUUUUAGCAGCCAGAUAAUCAAGUUCAAAAUUAUCACCCACAUGAACAGCAUCUUUUCCUUUCACUCCUGAACUUCUAAC